CAGGUUCAUGAUGGCGUGGUAUUUCAGUGCGUCACCGAUAUAAUAACCACAGGUUCAUGAUGGCGUGGUAUUUCAGUGCGUCACCGAUAUAAUAACCACAGGUUCAUGAUGGCGUGGUAUUUCAGUGCGUCACCGAUAUAAUAACCACAGGUUCAUGAUGGCGUGGUAUUUCAGUGCGUCACCGAUAUAAUAACCACAGGUUCAUGAUGGCGUGGUAUUUCAGUGCGUCACCGAUAUAAUAACCACAGGUUCAUGAUGGCGUGGUAUUUCAGUGCGUCACCGAUAUAAUAACCACAGGUUCAUGAUGGCGUGGUAUUUCAGUGCGUCACCGAUAUAAUAACCACAGGUUUAUGAUGGCGUGGUAUUUCAGUGCGUCACCGAUAUAAUAACCACAGGUUCAUGAUGGCGUGGUAUUUCAGUGUGUCACCGAUAUAAUAACCACAGGUUCAUGAUGGCGUGGUAUUUCAGUGUGUCA